rnacentral:other from 1 species
ACUGUUAUAAAUCAACAUAUUGAUUUAUAAGCAUGGAAAUCCCCUGAGUGAAACAACGAAUUGCUGUGUGUAGUCUUUGCCCAUCUCCCACGAUGGGCUUUUUUUUAA